GCUGGCGGAUAUAUAGGAAAUUAAAAACGACUUUUGUGCUUAUUUUUGCUUUGUUUUGAGCCUGACUUGUAAUCAGUAGGUCCCGCGUUCGAUUCGUGGUGCCGGCACCA
rnacentral:tRNA from 1 species